rnacentral:rRNA from 1 species
UACAGAGGUGGCAAGCGUUGUUCGGAAUUACUGGGCGUAAAGCGUGCGUAGUCGGUUAUCUAAGUCAGGUGUGAAAUCCCCGGGCUCAACCUGGGAAUUGCAUUUGAUACUGGAUAGCUAGAGUUCGGCAGAGGGAAGUGGAAUUUCUGGUGUAGCGGUGAAAUGCGUAGAUAUCAGAAGGAACAUCAGUGGCGAAAGCGACUUCCUGGACCAGAACUGACGAUCAGGCACGAAAGCGUGGGGAGCAAACAGG